rnacentral:rRNA from 1 species
AUUGAACGCUGGCGGCAUGCUUUACACAUGCAAGUCGAGCGGCAGCGCGGGAGCAAUCCUGGCGGCGAGCGGCGAACGGGUGAGGAAUACAUCGGAACGUACCCCGGAGUGGGGGAUAACGCCGCGAAAGCGGCGCUAAUACCGCAUAUGCUCUGAGGAGGAAAGUGGGGGACUCGCAAGGGCCUCACGCUCUGGGAGCGGCCGAUGUCCGAUUAGCUAGUGGUGGGGUAAAGGCUUACCAAGGCGACGAUCGGUAGCUGGUCUGAGAGGAUGAUCAGCCACACUGGGACUGAGACACGGCCCAGACUCCUACGGGAGGCAGCAGUGGGAAUUUUGGACAAUGGGGGCAACCCUGAUCCAGCCAUGCCGCGUGCGGGAAGAAGGCCU